rnacentral:tRNA from 1 species
AACAUAGAAGUAAUAUAUUUACAUUUAGCUUCGACCUAAAAUUAGAGAAAUCUCCAAUGUUU